AUUUCCAUUUUAUAUAGUUUAAAUAAAACAUUACAUUUUCAUAGUAAAGUUAAAAUCAUUUUAUAA
rnacentral:tRNA from 1 species